rnacentral:rRNA from 1 species
AGAGUUUGAUCCUAGCUCAGGGUGAACGCUGGCGGCGUGGAUGAGGCAUGCAAGUCGAAUGGGUUUAGACCCAUGGCAGACGAGGUAGGAACACGUAGGUACAUACCUCAAAGUCAGGGAUAACCUGGAGAAAUCCAGAAUAAUACCUGAUAGUCUCUUCGGAGUAAAGAUUUAUCGCUUUGGGAAUGGCCUGCGGGCUAUCAGCUUGUUGGUACGGUAACGGCGUACCAAGGCUACGACGGCUAGGGGAGGUGAGAGCCUGACCCCCACCGAUGGAACUGCGACACGGUCCAUACUCCUACGGGAGGCCGCAGUCGAGAAUCUUCCGCAAUGGACGAAAGUCUGACGGAGCGACGCCGCGUGGUGGAUGAAGUCUUUCGGGACGUAAACACCUUUUAUGAGGGAGGAAGUUUAUUGACGUUACCUCAUGAAUAAGGGGCUCCCAAUUCUGUGCCAGCAGGAGCGGUAAUACAGAAGCCUCAAGCGUUACCCGGAUUCACUGGGCGUAAAGGGUGCGUAGGUGGUUAUAUUAGUCGGAUGUUAAAUUGUAGGGCUCAACCUUACAGCCGCAUUCGAAACGGUAUAACUAGAAGAAGUCAGAGGUGUACGGAACUCAAGGUGUAGGGGUGAAAUCCGUUGAUAUCUUGGGGAACACCAAACGCGAAGGCAGUACACUGGGACUUUCUUGACACUGAGGCACGAAAGCGUGGGUAGCGAAUGGGAUUAGAUACCCCAGUAGUCCACGCCCUAAACGCUGUCUGCUAGCUUUUGGAGGAAUCGACCCCUUCAGAGGCGUAGGUAACCCGUUAAGCAGACCGCCUGGGUAGUACGAGCGCAAGCUUAAAACUCAAAGGAAUAGACGGGGGCUCGCACAAGCGGUGGAGCGCGGGGCUUAAUUCGUCGCUAAGCGAAAAACCUUACCGAGGCUAGAAACCAUACUGCACGCCUUCCGAAAGGAAGGAAGUCUUCGAGAGUGUAUGGCAGGUGAUGCAUGGCCGUCGUCAGUUCGUGGCUUGAGCUGUUCCCUUAAGUGGGAAACGAACGCAACCCUCGUUGCCUGUUACAAGUGUCAGGCGAGACUGCUCCCUCACGGGAGAGGAAGGUGAGGAUGACGCCAGGUCAGCAUGUCCCUUGAUGCCUCGGGCUGCACCCACGCUACAAUGGGACGCACAACGGGACGCAAUACAGUAAUGUGGAGCAAAUCCUUAUAAAACGUUCCUCAGUUCGGAUUGUGGUCUGCAACUCGACCACAUGAAGUCGGAAUCGCUAGUAAUCGCGGAUCAGCACGCCGCGGUGAAUACGUUCCCGAGCCUUGUACUCACCGCCCGUCAAGUCAGGGGAGUCGGGAGUGCCCGAAGUCCGUAUUUAUUGCGGCCUACGGUAAGCUCGAUAACAAGGACUAAGUCGUAACAAGGCA